GACGAACGCUGGCGGCGUGCUUAACGCAUGCAAGUCGAACGGAAAGGCCCUGCUUUUGUGGGGUGCUCGAGUGGCGAACGGGUGAGUAACACGUGAGUAACCUGCCCUUGACUUUGGGAUAACUUCAGGAAACUGGGGCUAAUACCGGAUAGGAGCUCCUGCUGCAUGGUGGGGGUUGGAAAGUUUCGGCGGUUGGGGAUGGACUCGCGGCUUAUCAGCUUGUUGGUGGGGUAGUGGCUUACCAAGGCUUUGACGGGUAGCCGGCCUGAGAGGGUGACCGGCCACAUUGGGACUGCGAUACGGCCCAGAAUCCUACGGGAGGCAGCAGUGGGGAAUAUUGCACAAUGGGCGGAAGCCUGAUGCAGCAACGCCGCGUGCGGGAUGACGGCCUUCGGGUUGUAAACCGCUUUCGCCUGUGACGAAGCGUGAGUGACGGUAAUGGGUAAAGAAGCACCGGCUAACUACGUG
rnacentral:rRNA from 1 species